rfam:Eutrema salsugineum unplaced genomic scaffold scaffold_9, whole genome shotgun sequence.
AAUCCAUGGUGAGGCAGUCUUGUUAAUACUCCUUAAAACGCUCCCAGGCUUCAUAUAAAGGUUCUGUCGGUCCUUGCUGAAAGCUUGAGAUCUUGGUUGUCAGCAA